AUGUUUGACCAGGAGGCAAAACCUUCAACUGAGGACUUGGGGGACAAGAAAGAAGAAUACAUCAAACUCAGUCAUUGGACAGGAUAGCAGUGAGAUUCACUUCAAGAUGAAAAUGACAACACAUCUCAAGAAACUCAAAGAACUAUACUGUCAGAGACAGGGGGUUCCAAUGAAUUCACUCAGGUUUCUUUUUGAAGGUCAGAGAAUUGCUGAUAAUCACACUCCAAAAGAACUGGGAAUGGAGGAAGAAGAUGUGAUUGAAGUUUAUCAGGAACAAACAGGGGGUCAUUCAACAGUUUAG